UGAGGAAUAUUGGUCAAUGGGCGAGAGCCUGAACCAGCCAAGUCGCGUGAAGGAAGACAGUCCUAAGGAUUGUAAACUUCCUUUAUACGGGAAUAACGGGCGAUACGAGUAUUGCAUUGAAUGUACCGUAAGAAUAAGCAUCGGCUAACUCCGUGCCAGCAGCCGCGGUAAUACGGAGGAUGCGAGCGUUAUCCGGAUUUAUUGGGUUUAAAGGGUGCGUAGGUUGUUCGGUAAGUCAGCGGUGAAACCUGAGCGCUCAACGUUCAGCCUGCCGUUGAAACUGCCGGGCUUGAGUUCAGUGGCGGCAGGCGGAAUUCGUGGUGUAGCGGUGAAAUGCAUAGAUAUCACGAGGAACUCCGAUUGCGAAGGCAGCUUGCCAUACUGCGACUGACACUGAAGCACGAAGGCGUGGGUAUCAAACAGG
rnacentral:rRNA from 1 species